GGAAANUCUGGAGUAAAAGGCUAUGGCUCAACCAUAGUGUGCUNUGGAAACUGUCUGACUUGAGUGCAGAAGGGGAGAGUGGAAUUCCAUGUGUAGCGGUGAAAUGCGUAGAUAUAUGGAGGAACACCAGUGGCGAAAGCGGCUCUCUGGUCUGUCACUGACGCUGAGGCUNGAAAGCGUGGGUAGCGAACAGGAUUAGAUACCCUGGUAGUCCACGCCGUAAACGAUGAGUGCUAGGUGUUAGGCCCUUUCCGGGGCUUAGUGCCGGAGCUAACGCAAUAAGCACUCCGCCUGGGGAGUACGACCGCAAGGUUGAAACUCAAAGGAAUUGACGGGGGCCCGCACAAGCGGUGGAGCAUGUGGUUUAAUUCGAAGCAACGCGAAGAACCUUACCAGGUCUUGACAUCCCGAUGCUAUUCUUAGAGAUAGGAAGUUACUUCGGUACAUCGGAGACAGGUGGUGCAUGGUUGUCGUCAGCUCGUGUCGUGAGAUGUUGGGUUAAGUCCCGCAACGAGCGCAACCCUUAUUGUUAGUUGCCAUCAUUAAGUUGGGCACUCUAGCGAGACUGCCGGUAAUAAACCGGAGGAAGGUGGGGAUGACGUCAAAUCAUCAUGCCCCUUAUGACCUGGGCUACACACGUGCUACAAUGGUCGGUACAACGAGUUGCGAGCCGGUGACGGCAAGCUAAUCUCUGAAAGCCGAUCUCAGUUCGGAUUGGAGGCUGCAACUCGCCUCCAUGAAGUCGGAAUCGCUAGUAAUCGCGGAUCAGCACGCCGCGGUGAAUACGUUCCCGGGCCCUGUACACACCGCCCGUCACACCACGAGAGUUUGUAACACCCGA
rnacentral:rRNA from 1 species